CCUUUACCCAGUGGCGGCGGAACAGGGGGGGCUAGGGGGGCUAAAGCCCCCCAGAAGUAAAAGUGGGGGGCUUAGCCCCCCCAGAAAAUUUUGUUUUCUCUGGAAAAAUUUUGAUAAUUAAGGAAAAAUGUAGGUUAUUUUUGGAAAAUUUAGGUAUAAGGGGAAAAAUUUGGGAUAUUUUGUGUAAAAAUCGAGUAUGUCCGGAAAAAUUUUUUGUUAUAGGUCCGGAAAAUUUUUUUUUAUCCCUUUUCUUGUAUAUGUCCG